rnacentral:lncRNA from 1 species
GAGACAUUUAACAGAUUUAUUUCCAUCUUGAAAAUGGAACUCUGAUUUUUUUGUUUUGUUUUGUUUGUUUUUGUUUUUCAGGAAACACUCUCAGGAUCAGGUGGUUUUCCUGAGCUUCACUGCCAAAGAGACAGCAAGAAUGCCAACCAGCUGCUGAGGGGCCCGAGGCUGCCUUUUAAUUUAGGAGACAGGGUCUCACUAAGUUGCCGAGGCUGGCCUUGAACUUACAAUCCUGCUGCCACAGCUUCCCAGGUUGCUGGGAUCACAGGUGCACACUACCCUGGCUGGCUCCCUAGGCUGCGCGGAACAAAGCCCCAGCACAAUUUAGAGCUUACCCUUCAUGGAAAUGAGUUCCUAAUAUCAGCCCAAUUCUGCGUUCAUUUUCUGUUCUCAUGGCCCUGUGCCAGGGCUUUAUUUUAUUUAUGAAAUUGUGUCAUAUGAGGCAAAACUCCUAUUGUAGGUUGAGAAGGGCCAUUGUCAUCCUGGGAUAUUUACUGUACGCCUAGGUGCUGAGGUGUAAUCUGUCCUCUGCAGUAAUGCAGAUACGAAAGCCAGUGGUAUUUAUUUAUAAUAACGCGGGAGGCAGCCUGCAGGGAAGUGUCAUCUUGUUUGUAAUCAAUCCCAGUGUGAGGCUGUUGUUGCCGCACAAUCAGGUUUUGCAUUAAGUGACAAAUUGGCUUCGUCUUCUUAUUCUGACUGUCAUUUUUCUUCAGUGGGGAUAUAUCAUCUCUGUUACAAGGCCUUGGAGCUUACACACACACACAUACACACACACACAAAUGCAUGCCUUGUGAAUGAGCUCAGGAAAAAAGCCACCAUCUCCCAUGGGCUUACAAACAAACCCUAAUUCCUGCCACUCCUGGGAAUGAGCACGAAUGUGUUGAAGAAAGCUGGCAAAGUAGAAGAGCGUGCUGUGCGUGUGGUGAGGUAAACAUGGCUGUAUCUGGUGAAGGCGUGUCAUUGCUACGGAUUGAAUUGAUUCGCCAAAUCCAUACACUGAAUCCCUACUACCAACGUGAGUGUGUUUAAAGACAGGGUUGGAGCUGGGGGUGUAGCUCAUUGGCAUAGUGCUUGUCUAGCCCACGUGAGGCCUAGGUUCAACCCCAGUACAAACACAAAAAAUGGGUCUUUGAGAGGUAAUUAAGGUUAAAUGAGGUCAUAGGGGUGGCACCCUAAUCCAAUAUGGCUGGCACUUCUGAGAUGAGGAAGAGGCACUAGGGAUAUGGGUACAGAGUUUUCUCUCUGAAGACACAGCAAUAUGGUAGUCAUCUGCAAGCCAGGGAGAGAGUCCUCAGGAGAAACCAAAUCUGCCGAUAACUUGAUCUUCAACUACCAGCUUCCAGAACUGUGAGAAAGUGGAUUUCUGUUGUUUCAACUGCCCUGUCUGUGUCAUUGUGUUAUAGAAGUCUCAGCAGACUCACACUGUCAUUAAUAAACUGACACUGGUGCUGUGUUCUGGAU